rnacentral:rRNA from 1 species
GCGGCGAACGGGUGAGUAACACGUGGGUGAUCUGCCUUGCACUCUGGGAUAAGCCUGGGAAACUGGGUCUAAUACCGGAUAUGACCUUCAACUGCAUGGUUGAGGGUGGAAAGAUUUAUCGGUGCAAGAUGAGCCCGCGGCCUAUCAGCUUGUUGGUGGGGUAAUGGCCUACCAAGGCGACGACGGGUAGCCGGCCUGAGAGGGCGACCGGCCACACUGGGACUGAGACACGGCCCAGACUCCUACGGGAGGCAGCAGUGGGGAAUAUUGCACAAUGGGCGGAAGCCUGAUGCAGCGACGCCGCGUGAGGGAUGACGGCCUUCGGGUUGUAAACCUCUUUCGACUCCGACGAAGCGAAAGUGACGGUAGGAGUAUAAGAAGCACCGGCCAACUACGUGCCAGCAGCCGCGGUAAUACGUAGGGUGCGAGCGUUGUCCGGAAUUACUGGGCGUAAAGAGCUUGUAGGCGGUCUGUCACGUCAUCUGUGAAAACUUGGGGCUCAACCUUAAGCUUGCAGGCGAUACGGGCAGACUAGAGUACUUCAGGGGAGACUGGAAUUCCUGGUGUAGCGGUGAAAUGCGCAGAUAUCAGGAGGAACACCGGUGGCGAAGGCGGGUCUCUGGGAAGUAACUGACGCUGAGAAGCGAAAGCAUGGGUAGCGAACAGGAUUAGAUACCCU